rnacentral:lncRNA from 1 species
UUCGUGAUGAGUGAGAAGCAUGUAGGAGGAGCAGAGGAAAUGCCAUUUGAAAGUCCAUCAGGAAAAGUAGGAGAAGGAACCAUUCUGAGCAUCAAAUAUCAGCUGACUGGGCAAGAAAGAGGUGAGAUAGAAUAUAGGUGAAUAUCCUAUUUAUCCUGUUUGCUCUUUUUAGAAAUGUGUGAUUUGGUAAACCUUCAGCUAAUUUAUGAAUUUAGGUAAUUUCAGAAGUUCUUAAUGAACUUGAUAGGUACUAAGAAGUGGAUACCUCUUCCCUUCAGUCUACAGUGAUCUGCUUUUCCAACUACUGAGAGCCUCCCUAUUCUUUUAAGCCAUUUCUUUUAUGUGUUAUUCUAUUGCAAACAAUCCAGUUUCACAGUUCACAGGGUUUUCUAUAUGUUUUUCAGCAGUCUACGUAGAGGACUCCUAGACAAUGAGGAAUUUUCCACUCCAGAUGUCAUGGUUUCAUGAUUUUUCAUUAUCGGUAUUCCACAUCAUAACAUCAUGCAAUG